rnacentral:rRNA from 1 species
GACGAACGCUGGCGGCGUGCCUAAUACAUGCAAGUAGAACGCACAGUUUAUACCGUAGCUUGCUACACCAUAGACUGUGAGUUGCGGACGGGUGAGUAACGCGUAGGUAACCUGCCUGGUAGCGGGGGAUAACUAUUGGAAACGAUAGCUAAUACCGCAUAAUAUUAAUUAUUGCAUGGUAAUUAAUUGAAAGGUGCAAUUGCACCACUACCAGAUGGACCUGCGUUGUAUUAGCUAGUAGGUGAGGUAACGGCUCACCUAGGCGACGAUACAUAGCCGACCUGAGAGGGUGAUCGGCCACACUGGGACUGAGACACGGCCCAGACUCCUACGGGAGGCAGCAGUAGGGAAUCUUCGGCAAUGGACGAAAGUCUGACCGAGCAACGCCGCGUGAGUGAAGAAGGUUUUCGGAUCGUAAAGCUCUGUUGUAAGAGAAGAACGGGUGUGAGAGUGGAAAGUUCACACUGUGACGGUAUCUUACCAGAAAGGGACGGCUAACUACGUG